GGGAGAAAGUUUCAGUCAGCAGAGCGUGAGACUAUCAAUCUCAGGGUCGUGAGUUCGAGCCCCGCAUUGGGCAAGAUUCCU